rnacentral:lncRNA from 1 species
AGUAAUAAUUUCAGAUAAAAAUGCUCAAAAAGAAAAUAUGAGAUUCCUUGCUGAUUUUUUAAAGCCUGUUACCUUGAUCCUUGCUGAGCAUCACAAUAGUAUGGAAGGUGUGUCUAGUUAAGUCAUACUAAACAAAUAGCAGUAGGGUGGCUACAUUAUGUCUGACCCUUUUAUUUUAUUGUAUUUUGCAGGUGAUCAUAUAUCUCAUAGCUGCCCUCUUUUGCUGGUUGCAACCAGAUGUAAAUGAUGGACAACCUUGGGUAUAGACAAAAUGGGAGGCAGAAGAUGCUCGAGGUUUUCUCUAGGUUUUGGAUGUUGACAAAAUUGUGUUUUUUAGAGAGUGUUUAUUUGUAUGCAAGCACCAUAAAAGUGUGUAAUGAACACCUUUUUCUAAUUACUAAUGUAUUGUAAUAGAUGGAAUUUGUGUUGCGACGACUCUUAUUGUACUGUGAUAUCCUUUAAGAAAAUAGAGACAGCUCAUGCUGCGAUAUCCUCUAGGAAAAUAGUGACGACUCUAACGGUGUUGCGCUACCCUUUAAGCGUGUAGCGAUGAUGCACAUUUUGUUGCGAUAUUCUUUAAUCAUAUAGCAACGAUCCAAAUUGCGUUGUGCUAACCUUUAGCAUGCGAUAUUCUUUAAUCAUAUAGUAACGAUCCAAAUUGCGUUGUGCUAACCUUUAGCCAUAUAGUGAUGACAUAUUGCGUUGCGAUGGGUUUUAAGCAUACAGUGAUGCCUGCAUAUUCGCUGUGAUAUGUCCUAAGCAUAUUGUAACAUCGUAGGUGUUUUCGCAACGACCAUAUACUGUGGCAAUAUAGGAUAUUGUUAAACCUCUAGCAUUGUAAUAGUGCUUGCUUGCAACUACACUACAUUGUUGCAAUAACCACUAUAGCAACGUCGCCCAUCGUUGCAAAUACCACUAAUGCAACACCCAUGUUCGUUGCUUCUGCAACCCAUUGCAACGCCACACUACAUUGCAAUAUGCUACAUUUAUGACAAUACCAUACAAAUGUGAUGCAAUACCCUACUGCAUCAGAGGUACUUGCAACACCUCCCAACGCCACCAAAAGUGUUGCAACGAUUCGAGGCGUUGCUUUAGGUGCAAAACCUUGCAGUGAAAGUUCGUGAAAUCACUACAAGAAAUGUGUUGAGUUAUGAUGAAAAUUUUAUGACACAUUUGUUCUUGUCAUAGAUUUAUGACGUUUCUUGUUGAAAACUAUUAGGAAGUAUAUGUGUAUUUUAGGAUGUAUUUAUCCUUUCCUUGUACACUUGAUGUAUUCCUUGUACUCCAAACCAUAUUGACCAUAUAUAUAGAGGUCAGCCCCCCUCAUUAGGGUGUGUAGUGUUUUCUCAUCUACUUCUCUACAUGGUAUCACGAGAUUAGAUCGCGGACCUCCUCUCGCUGUGCCUUCCCCCUGAUCCGUGCAACCCUAGGUGGUGCCCCCAUGCUACGCCGCCACCUCGCCCCCUCCGCUGCACCUCCCCGACCAGCUCCCCCUCCCCCGGUCGUGCGCCAUGUCCUCCGCCGACUCCUCUGUGUCCGGCAACACCACCACUCCUGCUGCUAAUCCUGUGCCGCCUCUUGGACCACCCCCUGCUGCCAA